rnacentral:rRNA from 1 species
CUACGGGUUGCAGCAGGCGCGAAACCUUUACAAUGUACGUAAGUGCGAUAAGGGAACUCCCAGUGCUCAUGUAAUGCAUGGGCUUUUGUUAAGUGUAAAUAGCUUGGCGAAUAAGUGGUGGGUAAGACGGGUGCCAGCCGCCGCGGUAACACCUGCGCCACGAGUGGCAUUCACGUUUACUGGGCCUAAAGCGUUCGUAGCCGGAUAGAUAAGUCUUAAGUGAAAUCGUUGCGCUUAACAAAACGACGUGCUUGAGAUACUGGUUAUCUAGGGACCGGGAGGAGUUAGGGGUAUCCCAGAGGGAGCGGUAAAAUGCUGUAAUCUCUGGAGGACCACCUGUGGCGAAGGCGCCUAACUAGAACGGGUCCGACGGUGAGGAACGAAAGCCAGGGGAGCAAAACGGAUUAGAUACCCCGGUAGUC